GGGAGAGGGCUUAUUUCCGCUUCCGCUUGCCCACUUUCAGGAAUUUGAUUCUGAGAGCAGGGCUGCGGUUCCAGGCAGGGUUUGUACACAUAUUUGCGUUGGAAGGAGAGAGGAGCCUAGGACACAUAUGUAUUAACUGUGCAGCUGGUCCGACUCCCGACAGCUUCAGCGCACACCAGCCAGCCUUGGAGUUGCUGGAACGGCCCUGGCUGCAAGCUGGAAUCACCCGGAGAGCUUUCGACAUUGAUGCCUGAGGCCCAGCUGUGGAGCGACAGUUUGAAAAGAGCUGCAGGUGACUCUAAUGUGCAGCUAAAGCUAGGAACCACUGAGCUACAUCUCAGGGAAGACUGAAAAUUACAAAGAAUAUGAUAAAAUCUUACUUCAGGAACAAAGCUACGUUUUUCCAGGUUAAUUUAUUAGUGGUUUGGGUUUUUUUUAAGUUUUUGUGGGUACACAGUAGGUGUGAACAUUUAUGGGCCACCUGAGAUAUUUUGACACAGGCAUGCAAUAAGUAAUAAUCUCAUCAGGACAAAUGGGAUAUCCAUCACCUCAAGCAUUUGUCCUUUGUGUUACAAACGAUCCAGUUAUAUUCUUUUAGUUACUUUAAAAUAUACAAUAUUAUUGGCUGUAAUUACUCUGAUGUGCUAUCAAAUACUAGUUAUACUAUUUCUUAUUCUAUUUUUUGUACCCAUUAACUAUCCCCACUUCCCCACCCCGCCAACCCUUCCCAGUCUGUUAACCAUCCUUCUACUCUCCAUCUCCAUAAGACUACACUUUCAUUCAAAAAAUCCAAAUUGCUCACCAUAAGCAAGGCACAGUUACAAAUAUGAGUAAGUUACUGCCCCAAAUGAACUCUUGGUCCAAUGGAAAAAAUCAGAAUGUAAAAUCACAAUAGAGGCAGUAUGUUCUAUAAUUAUGUCACAUUCAACAUACUAUGAGAGUACAAUGGAGGAAGCUAUUAACUAUGGCCGGGAAAGGUGGGAAAGGAUUCCUUUCACUGGUAUACUUAAAUACUUAAGAAAAAAAAAGUGUGAUCUAAACAGUGAAUAGUACAUGCAAAGGCAUAGUCUAGAGGAUAAAAGUGAAAAUAAUUAGUAGCAAAAUGAAUGCCUUGUGGAUGAGGUUUAGGGGCCAAUAACUAUCUUGAGGUAAGGCCAGGUUGUGGCUGCCUUUGUGUUGUACUAAGGGGUUUGGACCUUCCUAGGAGAUUAGAGCUUGAUUAAAGUCACAACAUCCAUAAGAGAAAUACUUUUUUUUUUUUGUUCCCUUCUGUGUGGUGGUUUUUAUUAUUUAGCCUUAUACUGAGGGUGGAAACUGGGGUCCUGAAAGUGUUUCCUUCUAGAAUAUUCCCCACCCACUGGCAGGCCCUAGGCUUUGUCUUUACCGCUUCCAGGUAGCUGCCAAAGUGGAAGUUUAUGUGCUCUAGGAUUUAGCAGUCUAAAAGUCAGGUUUGUUGCUCGAUUCUCAGAAUUCUAGCUCUCACUUUAUUUAUUUUUUGAGACAGGCUCUGGCUGUGUCAGCCAGGCCAGAAUGCAGUGGCAUGCUCUCAGCUCACUGCAACCUCCACCUCCUGGGCUCACGUAGUCCUCCCAUCUCAGCCUCAAGAGUAGCUGGGACUACAGGCAUGCACCACCAUGUCUGGCUACUUUUUGUAUUUUUUUGUAGACAUGGGGUUUUACCAUGUUGCCCAGGCUGGUUUCAAACUCG
rnacentral:lncRNA from 1 species